AGUGAAUCGAACGUGUACGUAUACGAGGCGUAAGCGUGACUGUGCUGUAAAGAUGUAUGAAGGAAGCUGCGAAGACUCCUUGCCGUUCUUUACAGAACCGAGCUUAACCGAAGUGUCACGAGGAUGAACGAGGUCACCGUUCGCAUCUUAUGCGGUUCCCACAGGGCGUCCAGGAUCUGCAGCCGGCGUUCCACUGUAGUUUUUACAUACUAAAAACCAAAUGUCUGUUUACCACCGGGUUCGUACCAGACAAGACGGUCGUCGGAGGGUCUGGCAGGGCCCGCAGUGGGCCUUAUGCUACAUAGAAGGUACUGUGGAAGAGAAUAGGAUUAAAAGGAAAUAAAAGUCCCUGAACGACGAGUAUAAAUGUUUGUACCCUCAGUCAAUUUAAGGCGGACACGCAGCGCUCGUUCGUUCGCGAUUUCGUUUCUGGCAUACGCGCAUGCGUCGAUCAUUCGUGGUGGGGAGUUUGAUGAUUCUCACGU